rnacentral:rRNA from 1 species
AGAGUUUGAUCCUGGCUCAGGACGAACGCUGGCGGCGUGCCUAACACAUGCAAGUCGAACGGCCCGCCCCAUCGGAUUCCUUUCGGGGAGAAGAUGGGUUCCCGGGCAGUGGCGGACGGGUGAGUAACGCGUGGAGAACCUGUCUCUCAGUUGGGGAUAACCUGGCGAAAGUCGGGCUAAUCCCGAAUACGCUCUCAAGGUGGCAUCACUUUGGGAGGAAAGGUGCUUUCGGGCAUCGCUGAGAGGUGGCUCCGCGUCGGAUUAGCUAGCUGGUGGGGUAACGGCUCACCAGGGCGACGAUCCGUAGCUGGUCUGAGAGGAUGAUCAGCCACACUGGGACUGAGACACGGCCCAGACUCCUACGGGAGGCAGCAGUGGGGAAUCUUCCGCAAUGGGCGAAAGCCUGACGGAGCAACGCCGCGUGAACGAAGAAGGCCUUCGGGUCGUAAAGUUCUGUCCUCAGGGAAGAACCCUCAUGGGAGGAAAUGCCCAUGAGCUGACGGUACCUGGGAAGGAAGCCCUGGCUAACUACGUGCCAGCAGCCGCGGUAAUACGUAGAGGGCAAGCGUUGUCCGGAAUUACUGGGCGUAAAGGGUACGCAGGCGGAUAUAUAAGUCAAAUGUGAAAGGCACCGGCUCAACCGGUGAGCGGCAUUUGAAACUGUAUAUCUUGAGUUCAGGAGAGGAGAGCGGAAUUCCUGGUGUAGCGGUGGAAUGCGUAGAUAUCAGGAAGAACACCAGUGGCGAAGGCGGCUCUCUGGCCUGAAACUGACGCUCAGGUACGAAAGCUGGGGGAGCGAACGGGAUUAGAUACCCCGGUAGUCCCAGCCGUAAACGAUGGACACUAGGUGUUGGGGGUUCGAAUCCUUCAGUGCCGAAGCAAACGCAUUAAGUGUCCCGCCUGGGGAGUACGGUCGCAAGACUGAAACUCAAAUGAAUUGACGG